CCUUUUCUCUCUUCUCUCUUCUCUCUUUCACAUCACCCACGUGGUUUCUCAAAAGGAAGAAAUCAACAGCUGGAAUGCUAGAUGUCCUUUGGGUAUAACAAAGAGAAGAAAAAGAGAGUUCUUCAUUGUAAGCUUUGUCUUUCGGACAAUACACAAUGAAGAAAAGAGGAAGAAGCUUCUUGAAAAAAAAAAAGGUCAAAUCAAUGAAGCCAAAAGCAAAGGACUCCUCUAGCUUGAUCAGAAGAUAAAGGUAGAUUAUUUCCACUUAUAUGCAUGUUGAUAGCUUGAUUGAAACAUACCUUCUUCUACACAUACCAUUUUUGGGCAUAUGAAAAGAAACUGGAUUCAUCUUACUUCUGCUGUGAAUCAAUGGCUACAAUUGUUUCUUAGAGACAAAGCACAAAUCUGAGGGUUUGGAUUUAUCAAAUCCAUUGAAAAUUUAUUUUCAAGGAAGGUGUAUUACUUGUCUCUGAUUUCAAAUCCCUAUGGCUGAUGGAAGAAAGAAGAAGAAAGACUUUAGCUAGCCCUAGAUUCAAGAAGCUGACUUUGUGAAGUAAGCUCUAGGUGUUGAGACAGAGCUUAUACAAAUAGAAAAAUCACUUCAAUUUGAAGGCAAGGAGGGAGAACCAGAAUUUGAGUUACAUUGAGAGCAUUCCCAGUGAGAGUUUAACGCUUUGGACUGUUUUCUACAUCAAAGAAACAUACCGCCAAAAUGAAGAACAAUCAUAGAGAGUUCUGAAGUUGGUUCAUCUAAUAGCGUCAAGGCUGUGAAUCAUCAUCUCCUUCAUGGUUUAUUGUUCUAUUAUUCUAUUUCAAUGUUUAUCUUUUUCUGUUUUCUCUUGAGUGGAAAAAGGCAUACAUAUGAGGCAUUUGAAAAAGCCAAAUAGAGAGAGAAGGCAAAGAGAGAAACUUGGAGAGCAAAGCCAAAGUUGAUUUCAGAUUUUUAUUUGUUUGUAUUUCUAUUCUGCAUCUUGUAUCUGAUGUAUCCCUUGCUAAGUUGGGUAAGCACUUAGUGUAUUGAGAGUCUAGGAUGUUGCCUAGCCAAAUCAAGCUUAUGUUGAAGUUUGGUUUGUCCCAGAUAGGAUUAUGUUGAGUCCUAGAGAAUUGGUGUAUGUAAAACUUGAAAGUAUAGUGAAAAUUCCACCAAUAUUGUGGUGGAGAUUGGAUGUAGGUUGCAUUGCACAAAGCAACUGAACCAGGGUAUAUGCUGA
rnacentral:lncRNA from 1 species